GGAGCUGUGCCUGAAUAAUAGGAUCACUUUGAUAGAGUGAAACAUGGGGGAUAAAAUCCCUCCAGCCCCU
rnacentral:tRNA from 1 species